UUGACCAGUCACACAAUGUAAUUGAUUUACCUACUAUCAUGAGAGAGCUGCAGGACAUUAAGAAGACCAUAGAGAACAUAUUUAGUGCGCCUAGGGAACUCAAGAAAACCAAAGUCUUCAGAGUUGAAAACUCAGCUGUUAAGGAAUCACUGGUGACUCUAUUAAAAAG